rnacentral:rRNA from 1 species
CUUAUUGUUACUUGCCAUCAUUCAGUUGGGCACUCUAGCGAGACUGCCGGUAAUAAACCGGAGGAAGGUGGGGAUGACGUCAAAUCAUCAUGCCCCUUAUGACCUGGGCUACACACGUGCUACAAUGGUUGGUACAACGAGUCGCAAGUCGGUGACGGCAAGCAAAUCUCUUAAAGCCAAUCUCAGUUCGGAUUGUAGGCUGCAACUCGCCUACAUGAAGUCGGAAUCGCUAGUAAUCGCGGAUCAGCACGCCGCGGUGAAUACGUUCCCGGGCCUUGUACACACCGCCCGUCACACCACGAGAGUUUGUAACACCCGAAGUCGGUGAGGUAACCGUAAGGAGCCAGCCGCCUAAGGUGGGAUAGAUGAUU